rnacentral:lncRNA from 1 species
GGGUGCUCGCCAGGAAAGGUUCCGGCGGCAAGUUUCUGUUUCUUUUUCUUUCUUGUCUCUCAAGUUCCCAAGUCUCGCUUAUUACAUACUCUGCACAUAGGCAUUGACGACUGGGCCCACAGGUGGUGCCCUGAUUACAGACUCCAUGACAUCUGGCAUACUUAGGCCACUAACCCAGGCUUAGACACGUCGGCUUCAGUCAUUGAGGCGCGUCCGGCACACCGGCCGCGACAGCUUCCCCCCUGCAGCGGUUGCUUGUCCACAAGCAACGAACGAAGGAAACCUGGCCUGUAGAACAUACCAGUCUUCCCAGGUCGCCGAGUCCACUGGAAGGUGAGUCCAUUUCACCAGCACCUGUGGGACAGCCUUAGAGCCUUUCUUCACCAGACGACGCUCCAGAACCCGCUCAGGUUGAAGAUCAGUGGUACUGAAAUCCAGCAGCAUUUUGGGAUCUGCAAAAACUGGCGUGUAAUUUGGUGUGAAGGGUUUCAGAUGACUGACAUGGAAAACUGGAUGGAUGAGGCAGCCAUCAGGUAAUUUAAGGCGAUAAGCUGCGGAACCAACUCGCUGGAGCACUGCAAAUGGGCCAAAAAAUUUGAAUGCUAGUUUGGGGUAUGGUCGAUUCACCACUGAACUCUGGGCAUAUGGUUGUAACUUUAGGAGUACUUGUUCUCCAACUUGGAAUUGGCGAUCCACACGAUGGCGAUCGGCGAGCUGCUUCAUUCUGUUUUGAGCUCUAGCAAGAUUGUCCUUCAGUUGUUGCAUAUGAGCAUCCCUUUCAGUGACCCAAGUGAGAGCUUCGGUUGGAGUGUCUUGUAUAGGAGCAAUGGAAAAACCGAUGUCAGGCUCAUAGCCAUACAAUGCCUUGAAGGGAGAACAACCCAGGGAAGAAUGAAGACAUGUAUUGUACCAUAUUUCAGCCAAGGAAAUGCAGUGCUUCCAACGCUUGGGAUUGUCAUGAACUGCACAUCGCAAGUACAUUUCAAGACAUUGGUUGACGCGCUCCGAUUGGCCGUCGGUUUGAGGGUGAUAGGCUGUGCUCCGAAGUAAACCAGUGCCAAAUAAAGCAAACAGUUCUUUCCAAAAUGCGCUGAGAAAAAUGCGGUCGCGAUCUGAAACAAUGGUCUUGGGAAAACCAUGGAGCCUCACCACAUUGUCUAGAACAGCCCGCGCCACUAGCUGUGCUGUGAAUGGAUGUUUCAAUGGAAUGAAAUGUGCGUACUUAGUGUACCUGUCCACGACCACGAGUAUGCAAUUAUAACCCUCAGAUGAUGGCAGCCCUUCGACGAAGUCCAUAGUGAUGUCUUGCCAUGCGCCAACAGGAAUGGGCAAUGGCUGCAAAAGACCAGCUGGAUGAGUGUUACUGUGUUUGGCGUGUUGGCAUGCCGAGCACUGACGCACAAAAUCCUCCACAGCACUUUUGAGACCUUUCCAGUAAAACAACUGGCUGAUGCGAUGAUAAGUCCCUUUAGAACCUGAAUGACCCCCAACCGCAGUUGAGUGAAAACUGUUGAUCAAUUUGGUUUGCAACGCUGAAUUAUUGGCCACCCAAAUCUUGUUGUUGUAUCGAAUGAUACCCUGGGAUAAAGAAAAUCCUGCCUCAUCCGGAGAAUGGAGGGCCAGUUUAGCAAGUAAGUCCUGUGCUGCUAGGUCCGUAUUGUAGCUGUUCAAAAGCUCUUGCAGCCAAACUGGUUGGACAUGAGACACUGUUGUAGUGCUGCAAAGGUGCCCCACCCGGGACAGGGAAUCAGCCACAAUGUUCUCUUUGCCCUUGCGAUAGACUACUUUGAAUUGCAGACCCAUCAGACGAGUCAUGGCCUUUCUCUGCAUGUCUGAAUGAAGAUGUUGCUCAGUGAGGUAUGAGAGACAUUGAUGGUCAGUUCGGAUGAUAAACUCCUGUCGUUGGAGAUAUGUGCGCCAUCUUUCUACCGCCAUGAUAAGCGCUAGGAAUUCCUUCUCAUAAAUUGAAAGUUUCUGAUGUUGGGGCCCAAGUGCUUUACUGAGAAAAGCCACUGGUUGGUCUCGCUGAAUUAGUACAGCGCCAAUGCCGGUAUCACUUGCAUCAGUUUCCACAAUAAAGGGUUGUGAAAAAUCUGGAAUAGCCAACACUGGGGCAGUGGCCAUUGCCUGUUUCAAUUGAUUAAAGGCUUGUUGAGCUGUUGGGGUCCAUACAAAGUGUUUAGUACGAAGCAAACCAGUCAGGGGUCGAGCUAUAAGACCAUAAUGUUUGAUGAAUUUGCAAUAGUAACCGGCGAGUCCCAAAAAACCCCCGAAGUUCAGUAACUGUGGUGGGAAUGGGCCACUGUAACAUCGCAUCUGUUUUUGCUGGGUCAGUAGCAACGCCCUCCUGAGAGAUAAUGUGGCCCAAAUAAUGCAAAGAAGUUUGGCCAAAGGAGCAUUUACUCACUUUCAUAUAUAGCUGAUGCAGUCUGAGUUGAGCCAACACUUUCUGCAAAUGAGAAAUAUGGUGCUGCAUAGAGCAACUGUAAAUGAGGAUAUCAUCCAAGAAAACCAGCACGAACUUCCGAAGGAAUGGCUCGAGUAUGGUAUUCAUAAGACAUUGGAACGUAGCCGGGGCGUUGGUGAGUCCAAAUGGCAUGACGCGGAAUUGAAAAUGACCAUGGUGCGUCUUAAAAGCUGUUUUGGGUUCAUCCUCAGGCCACAUGCGGACUUGAUGGUACCCAGAUCUCAUGUCCAACUUAGUAAAGAAUUUGGUGCCCGCCAGUUCAUCGAGAAUUUCAUCAAUCACUGGGAUAGGAAACCUGUUUUUCACUGUUAUGGCAUUCAACUUCCGGUAAUCAACACAGAAUCGCCAGGUACCAUCUUUCUUUUGAACGAGAAGCACUGGAGAAGCAAAGGGACUAGUACUGUGCACAAUCAGACCAGUCUGCAGAAGUUCCUUAACUUGUUUUUCGAUUUCGUCCUUAUGUAAAGGAGAAUACCGAUAUGAUCUGGAGUUUACUGGAGGUUGGUUGGGCAGCAAGGGAAUGCGAUGGUCGUGGAGCCUAGGGGUUGGUAGUUUCUUCGGAUCCUUAAAGACGUCUGCAUAUUCCUGUAGGACAGGCCGAAGUUCCAGUGGAACUUGGGCAUCUGGCAACUGUGAAAGAAUUUCGAUGACAGCUAAAGCUGCAAUAUCAUUGCCUGCUGCCCACUUGACCAGCUCAUGUGGAGAAACCUCUGGAAGAAUGGACUGAUUUUGGAUAAUUCCUUGUAGAUGCACUGACUGGUGACGAUACUGAAAAUCCAGAGUUCUAUCUUCCCAAUGGCAGAUCAUGGGACUAAGCGGAGCUAACCAAUCAUAGCCUAGAAUGGCAUCAAAAGCCCCAAAGUCCAGUACCAACAUAUCUGAAUAGAAGGUGUAUCCCUGAAUCCACCACUCUAGUUGAUGAACUUGCUGGUCAACCACCAGUAGCUCUCCAUUGGCUACUUUCACUGUUAAAGGAGACCGAGGUGUAGAUGGAAUACCACAAGUCUUAAGGAAAGCGGCACUGACGAAGCUGUGCGAGCUCCCACUGUCGACAAGGGUCAGCAUGACCUUGUUUUUUACCAUAGCUCGGAGUUUCAAUGUACGGCCUGUAUCAGUUCCUGCAAGUGCAUUUAGGGACAACUGACCAAACUCAGAGGAAAGAGCAUCUUCCAUGUCCAACUGAUGAAGAAUAUCUUCUGUGAGAGGAAUAUCCAAAUCAUUCACCACGACAGCAUUCAACUGUGUUUUGGGACGCUUGGGACAGUUGGCUAAAUGAGCAGGGUCAAAAGGAGCCAGACAAUAGAAACAUAGAUUAUUGGCCCGACAAUAGUCCCUCUUCUGGCGUUCUUUAGUCAAUGGAGAAUUGAAAGUAGAACUCAUCUUUACCUCAGGGCGACCAGAAAUUCCAAACUGAGCCUUGUGUGGAAAUGCAGGUUUACUGUACUUGAAUUGUGGACGAUCGAAUAAGGCUUCUUGGAUCUUGGCAAUAUGCACCGCCUGUUCCAUUGUACGAGGUAUGUGAGAUUGGACCAGCGCAGCCAAUUCGGGUUUUAGAUUGCGAGUGAACUGAUUGAUGAAGAACAUUCUGUCAAAACCACUGUUAUGCAUCUCUAGCCGAAAUUGCAGAGACUGAAACUGGAAAUAAAAUUCAUCAACUGAACCAGUUUGCUUUAGAGUGAACAAAUCCUGCAUAGCAUGAUCAUAAUCAUAAGCACCAAAUUUAUCCUCCACAUCGGUCAUGAAUUGGGCCCAGGAAGGAAAACCCCCCUUUGAGGCGCUGCACCUCCAUCCACCUCCCAGCAUUAUCCCUCAUAUGCAUUGUUGCAGAAGUAACCCAAAGGUGCUCAGGAACAUUGUAGAACAGAAAGUAAUCCUCACACUGCCGGCGCCAGAUACGUGGAUCGCGCCCAUUAAACUCUGGAAAGUUCAACUUGGGUGUGGUACGACGAUACCCUUGCAUGCCUUCAUUCCAAUCGCGAGGAAUAACUGGUGGGGGCGAUGAUGAUGAUGCUCACCAGGGUGGUAACCAGCGGGACGGGGUGGACGCUGAUGCAGAGAGGGUUGCGCCUCCCUGGAGAACUGUGAGGAAGUGUCCCACUCCGCCGAAGGUCGGCGCUCGCGUGUGAGAAGAUCCACCGCCUUGCCUGUGGCUUCGAGUUGUUGCGCGAAGGUGGCUUGAUCUUUGAGAACCUGCUCCAUAGCCUUCACCCCCAAGUCCUGGUGGAUCUGCAUCUGCUCUUGCGCGCGCGUGACGUCGCCUAGCCUUGUAAACAACAGAUCAAUGCUCUGAUUGAGGUGAUUCCAGCGUUCCUCCUCAGUCCUCACGUUCCCCCGCGGCGGCCAUCGCGUCUAGGACGAAACGAGUCUGGACGGAAGGUUUCGGCGGCGCCGUGGUGACUACCCGCAAAUCGGACCGUGGUGGCGUGGGAAUCACGGGGAUUCAAUCGACGCCGCCGGUGCUGCGCGGCAAACGUCGAGAACUCACCAAACCCGUGCCUAUUACGGUGACGAUCGACGGAAAUUGCAGACACCCGCGGUAGCGUGCCGAAGAUCAACUGGUCUUUGAUACCAACUGUUGUGCCCCGUGGCCACCGAGGAUCUCCGAUGGCGUGAGGUGCGUACUCAAACGAACGAGGGAGAGGUGGGUGCUCGCCAGGAAAGUUUCCGGCGGCAAGUUUCUGUUUCUUUUUCUUUCUUGUCUCUCAAGUUCCCAAGUCUCGCUUAUUACAUACUCUGCACAUAGGCACUGACGACUGGGCCCACAGGUGGUGCCCUAAUUACAGACUCCAUGACAUCUGGCAUACUUAGGCCACUAACCCAGGCUUAGACACGUCGGCUUCAGUCAUUGAGGCGCGUCCGGCACACCGGCCGCGACAGCUUCCCCCCUGCAGCGGUUGCUUGUCCACAAGCAACGAACGAAGGAAACCUGGCCUGUAGAACAUACCAGUCUUCCCAGGUCGCCGAGUCCACUGGAAGGUGAGUCCAUUUCACCAGCACCUGUGGGACAGCCUUAGAGCCUUUCUACACCAGACGACGCUCCAGAACCCGCUCAGGUUGAAGAUCAGUGGUACUGAAAUCCAGCAGCAUUUUGGGAUCUGCAAAAACUGGCGUGUAAUUUGGUGUGAAGGGUUUCAGUUGACUGACAUGGAAAACUGGAUGGAUGAGGCAGCCAUCAGGUAAUUUAAGGCGAUAAGCUGCAGAACCAACUCGCUGGAGCACUGCAAAUGGGCCAAAAAAUUUGAAUGCUAGUUUGGGGUAUGGUCGAUUCACCACUGAACUCUGGGCAUAUGGUUGUAACUUUAGGAGUACUUGUUCUCCAACUUGGAAUUGGCGAUCCACACGAUGGCGAUCGACGAGCUGCUUCAUUCUGUUUUGAGCUCUAGCAAGAUUGUCCUUCAGUUGUUGCAUAUGAGCAUCCCUUUCAGUGACCCAAGUGAGAGCUUCGGUUGGAGUGUCUUGUAUAGGAGCAAUGGAAAAACCGAUGUCAGGCUCAUAGCCAUACAAUGCCUUGAAGGGAGAACAACCCAGGGAAGAAUGAAGACAUGUAUUGUACCAUAUUUCAGCCAAGGAAAUGCAGUGCUUCCAACGCUUGGGAUUGUCAUGAACUGCACAUCGCAAGUACAUUUCAAGACAUUGGUUGACGCGCUCCGAUUGGCCGUCGGUUUGAGGGUGAUAGGCUGUGCUCCGAAGUAAACCAGUGCCAAAUAAAGCAAACAGUUCUUUCCAAAAUGCGCUGAGAAAAAUGCGGUCGCGAUCUGAAACAAUGGUCUUGGGAAAACCAUGGAGCCUCACCACAUUGUCUAGAACAGCCUGCGCCACUAGCUGUGCUGUGAAUGGAUGUUUCAAUGGAAUGAAAUGUGCGUACUUAGUGUACCUGUCCACGACCACGAGUAUGCAAUUAUAACCC